CGAAAGCUGACGGAGCACGCGCGUGAGGGAUGAAGGCCUCUGGGCUGUAAACCUCUUUUCUCAAGGAAGAAGAUCUGACGGUACUUGAGGAAUAAGCCACGGCUAAUUCCGUGCCAGCAGCCGCGGUAAUACGGGAGUGGCAAGCGUUAUCGGAAUUAUUUGGGCGUAAAGCGUCCGCAGGCGGCUGUUUAAGUCUGUCGUUAAAGCGUGGAGCUUAACUCCAUUUAAGCGAUGGAAACUGCAAGACUAGAGUGUGGUAGGGGCAGAGGGAAUUCCCGGUGUAGCGGUGAGAUGCGUAGAUAUCGGGAAGAACACCAGUGGCGAAGGCGCUCUGCUGGGCCAUAACUGACGCUCAUGGACGAAAGCCAGGGGAGCG
rnacentral:rRNA from 1 species